rnacentral:rRNA from 1 species
GGGGGGGGGGGGCGGGGGGCGGGAGGGGGGGGGGGCGGGCGGGGGGGCGCGGGGGUGGGGGGGUGCGCGAGUGGCGAACGGGUGAGUAACACGUGAGUAACCUGCCCGUGGCUUUGGGAUGACUUCAGGAAACUGGGGCUAAUACCGGGUAGGUGCGCCUGCUGCAGGGGGGGGGUUGGAAAGUUUCGGCGGUUGGGGAUGGACUCGCGGCUUAUCAGCUUGUUGGUGGGGUAGUGGCUUACCAAGGCUGUGACGGGUAGCCGGCCUGAGAGGGUGACCGGCCACAUUGGGACUGAGAUACGGCCCAGACUCCUACGGGAGGCAGCAGUGGGGAAUAUUGCACAAUGGGCGGAAGCCUGAUGCAGCAACGCCGCGUGCGGGAUGACGGCCUUCGGGUUGUAAACCGCUUUCGCCUGUGACGAAGCGUGAGUGACGGUAAUGGGUAAAGAAGCACCGGCUAACUACGUG